rnacentral:rRNA from 1 species
UGUGGAAUAUUGCACAAUGGAGGGAACUCUGAUGCAGCGACGCCGCGUGAGUGAUGAAGGAAUUCGUUUCGUAAAACUCUGUUCUAUGGGAAGAAAAGGACUGUACCAUAGGAGAAAGCUCCGGCUAAAUACGUGCCAGCAGCCGCGGUAAUACGUAUGGAGCGAGCGUUGUCCGGAAUUAUUGGGCGUAAAGGGUGCGCAGGCGGCUUUACAAGUUGGAUGUGAAAUAUUGUGGCUCAACCACAAACGUGCAUCCAAAACUGCAAAGCUUGAGUUAAGGAGAGGUAAGUGGAAUUCCUGGUGUAGCGGUGGAAUGCGUAGAUAUCAGGAGGAAUACCGGUGGCGAAGGCGACUUACUGGACUUAAACUGACGCUCAGGCACGAAAGCGUGGGGAGCAAACAGG